rnacentral:tRNA from 3 species
CGGGAUGUAGCGCAGUUUGGUAGCGCAUCAGUUUUGGGAACUGGGUGUCGCAGGUUCGAAUCCUGUCAUCCCGA